GAAAAAGAAACCCUAACUCCCACCCAACCUUUACGGCAACAUCAUUCUCCUCCUUUUCAGCCGAUACGCAGCCAUCGAUCACUGGUCGUUAGGUGAUUGAAACAGGAGCUUGCUGGCUGGAGAGCAGGAGUGGUCAUGGUCGUUAGGUGAUUGAAACAGGAGCUUGCUGGCUGGAGAGCAAGAGUGGUCAUGGUCAUAUCAACGGGAUUAUUUGUCAAAUACUUAGUUAUUAUGAUUGAAUUCGUAUUUACCUUAUGAUACUUUAAUGCUUCCGCUGAACUUGUGAUUUUGAAUAACUUAUGACUGGAAUUGUUAUUACUUAAUUGAUGGAACUUUAUUACAACUUGUGAUUCAAUGUAAUUAGUG
rnacentral:lncRNA from 1 species